rnacentral:lncRNA from 1 species
UUUAGGAAGCAUAAGCAGAAUUAAUGAACGCAGAAGAAGAAAAAUGAUAUAAUUAUGGAAAAUUAGCAUAGAAUGAAAUGAGAAUUGAAAAUAGGAUUGACAAAUUUGUUACUGACCUGUUCCUUUCUGUUAGACACGGCGAGUCAGACACAAGCUCAGACACGGCGAGUCAGAACGGAGAGUCAGACACGGCGGCGAUCGGAGAGUGUUAUUGGCAAAUUUGUUUUUUAUUUUUUAUUGGUGUGUUAUAUUAUUGAAGAUAUUUUUAGUUUAUUUUCUUUUUUGGGGAAGUUUUAAAUUUCUUUUUUAUAGAUAAAUAAAUAUUAUAUUGUGUUUAUGUUUCUAAAUUCUAAAUAUUAUAAUGUUAU